rnacentral:rRNA from 1 species
AUGGCCGGGUCCGUCUGCAAGUUGGCCUCGCGCGCGUCCCCGCCCGCCGGCGCGUUGGCCAUGGCCGUCCCCGCGUCCGCGCCCGCCUGCGCCUUGGCCGUGCCCGCGUCCGCGCCCGCCGGCGCGUUGGCCGCGCCCCGCGUCUUCCGCCGGCGUGCGUACAUCAAGUCGCCCGUGCUCCGCAGAAGCAGCUCGCCUGUGUUCAAGGAGGUCCGCCUCAUCGUCGGCUUCUUUGCUGGCAUGAAGUCGAUCAUGCUCGCAUCCAUUGCCGUCAUGGAGGGAAUGCUCAACUUCUACAUGGAGCCCGCAAUAAAAAAUUAUCCUGCUAGUAUUACUGCAAAAAGGUGA